rnacentral:rRNA from 1 species
ACUCCUACGGGAGGCAGCAGUGGGGAAUAUUGCACAAUGGGCGCAAGCCUGAUGCAGCCAUGCCGCGUGUAUGAAGAAGGCCUUCGGGUUGUAAAGUACUUUCAGCAGUGAGGAAGGUGGGUAUGUUAAUAGCAUAUUCAUUUGACGUUAGCUGCAGAAGAAGCACCGGCUAACUCCGUGCCAGCAGCCGCGGUAAUACGGAGGGUGCGAGCGUUAAUCGGAAUUACUGGGCGUAAAGCGCAUGCAGGUGGUUUGUUAAGUCAGAUGUGAAAGCCCGGGGCUCAACCUCGGAAUUGCAUUUGAAACUGGCAAACUAGAGUACUGUAGAGGGGGGUAGAAUUUCAGGUGUAGCGGUGAAAUGCGUAGAGAUCUGAAGGAAUACCGGUGGCGAAGGCGGCCCCCUGGACAGAUACUGACACUCAGAUGCAAAGGCGUGGGGAGCAAACAGGAUUAGAUACCCUGAUAGGCUCU